AAGUCGUAACAAGGUUUCCGUAGGUGAACCUGCGGAAGGAUCAUUAACACGUAUCCAAACGUUAAACCCCCCUGUGAACCUUCACCUCUACAACAGUUUUCGGUUCCGGGAUGUCUGCAAGGAGCGUGCGAGCAAGUGGCCUGGCAUCCCCAAGCAGUUAGUGUCUGAAAGUGUCAUUAACUGUGUAAGGAUGACGCAGUCACGAUCGUUGGAGGCCCACACGGCCGGCGACCGGGUCACUGGGCGCAAGCCCCCCUAUAACAAACGCUGCUAAUCGCGGCCGCGAUAAUACGCAGUCGACCAAAAACCGAACAACUGUUAACAUC
rnacentral:misc_RNA from 1 species